rnacentral:sRNA from 1 species
GUUUAGCCCCGAUAGGAACGGCAUCCUUUUUUCUGGCUGGAAACAGACAGAAAAAAGAUAUAGUGGAUAGCGGGACAACUG